UACGUAGGGUGCGAGCGUUAAUCGGAAUUACUGGGCGUAAAGCGUGCGCAGGCGGUUUUGUAAGCCAGAUGUGAAAGCCCCGGGCUUAACCUGGGAACUGCAUCUGUGACUGCAUAGCUAGAGUACGGUAGAGGGGGAUGGAAUUCCGCGUGUAGCAGUGAAAUGCGUAGAUAUGCGGAGGAACACCGAUGGCGAAGGCAAUCCCCUGGACCUGUACUGACGCUCAUGCACGAAAGCGUGGGGAGCAAACAGG
rnacentral:rRNA from 1 species